rnacentral:rRNA from 1 species
UACGUAGGGUGCAAGCGUUGUCCGGAAUUAUUGGGCGUAAAGAGCUCGUAGGCGGUUUGUCGCGUCUGCUGUGAAAACUCAGGGCUUAACUCUGAGCUUGCAGUGGGUACGGGCAGACUUGAGUGCGGUAGGGGAGACUGGAAUUCCUGGUGUAGCGGUGAAAUGCGCAGAUAUCAGGAGGAACACCAAUGGCGAAGGCAGAUCUCUGGGCCGUAACUGACGCUGAGGAGCGAAAGCAUGGGGAGCGAACAGG